UUGUUGAGGAAGAUAAUGACGGUACUCAACAAGGAAGUGACGGCUAACUACGUGCCAGCAGCCGCGGUAAAACGUAGGUCACAAGCGUUGUCCGGAAUUACUGGGUGUAAAGGGAGCGCAGGCGGGAGAACAAGUUGGAAGUGAAAUCCAUGGGCUCAACCCAUGAACUGCUUUCAAAACUGUUUUUCUUGAGUAGUGCAGAGGUAGGCGGAAUUCCCGGUGUAGCGGUGGAAUGCGUAGAUAUCGGGAGGAACACCAGUGGCGAAGGCGGCCUACUGGGCACCAACUGACGCUGAGGCUCGAAAGUGUGGGUAGCAAACAGGAUUAGAUACCCUGGUAGUCCACACCGUAAACGAUGAUUACUAGGUGUUGGAGGAUUGACCCCUUCAGUGCCGCAGUUAACACAAUAAGUAAUCCACCUGGGGAGUACGACCGCAAGGUUGAAACUCAAAGGAAUUGACGGGGGCCCGCACAAGCAGUGGAGUAUGUGGUUUAAUUCGACGCAACGCGAAGAACCUUACCAAGUCUUGACAUCCCUUGACGAUGCUGGAAACAGUAUUUCUCUUCGGAGCAAGGAGACAGGUGGUGCAUGGUUGUCGUCAGCUCGUGUCGUGAGAUGUUGGGUUAAGUCCCGCAACGAGCGCAACCCUUAUGGUCAGUUACUACGCAAGAGGACUCUGGCCAGACUGCG
rnacentral:rRNA from 1 species